AGUUAAACAAGAGGAAGAAGAGGAUGAUGCUGUGUUUGGAGUGAAGAAGGAAGGGGAGAUUACUGUCACAUUGGAAGAUGAAGAGGAGGAGACAGGAGAUCUGAUUAACACCAGAGAGAGACGGGACUAUCGUGGAUCCUCUGGGGAGCCUCAACAACAUCAUGAUGCUGAAAAGGCAGAGCAGAGUCUGUCCAGAUCAGAACACCUCCAGAAACACCAGCAGAUACCCACAGAUGAUCAAUCUCAUUGCUGUUCUGACUGUGGGAAAGGUUGCAAAUCUUCAUCAGAACUUAAAAUACACCAGCAAGUACACACAGGAGAGAAACCAUACUGCUGCUCUGACUGCGGGAAACGUUUCUCAAGAUCAAAUUCACUAAAAGUACACCUGCGAAUUCACACUGGAGAGAAAUCUCACCACUGUUUUGAUUGUGGGAAGAGUUACUUAAGAUUAAAAUCACUAAAAGUACACAUGAGAAUUCACACUGGAGAGAAACCUUAUAGCUGUGAUCAAUGUGGGAAGAGUUUUACUAUAUCUAGCUGUCUGACUAUUCAUCAGAGAACACAUACAGGAGAGAAACCAUAUAGCUGUACUCAAUGUGGGAAGAGUUUCACUACAUCUAGCCAAUGGAUUGUACACCAGAGAACACAUACUGGAAAGAAAUCUCUUAGCUGUACUCAAUGUGGGAAGAGUUUUACUCACUUAGGCAGCCUGUUAUCACACCAGAGAAAACACACAGGAGAGAAAUCUUAUAGCUGUGAUCAAUGUGGGAAGAGUUUUACUCAGUCAAGCAACCUGGUAUCACACCAGAGAACACACACAGGAGAGAAACCUUAUAGCUGUGAUCAAUGUGGGAAAAGUUUUACUAAGUCUAGCAGUCUUAUUGUACACCAGAGAACACACACAG